rnacentral:rRNA from 1 species
GAUGAACGCUGACAGAAUGCUUAACACAUGCAGGUCGAUUCAAGUUACCUUCGGGUAAUGAGGAUGGCGGACGGGUGAGUAACGCGUAAGGAACUUGCCUCUUGGUCUGGGACAACUGUUGGAAACGACAGCUAAUACCGGAUAUUAUGAGAUUCUCGCAUGGGAAACUUAUGAAAGCUAUAUGCGCCAAGAGAGAGCCUUGCGUUCCAUUAGCUAGUUGGUGGGGUAACGGCCCACCAAGGCGACGAUGGAUAGCCGGCCUGAGAGGGUGAACGGCCACAAGGGGACUGAGACACGGCCCUUACUCCUACGGGAGGCAGCAGUGGGGAAUAUUGGACAAUGGGCCACAAACCUGAUCCAGCAAUUCUGUGUGCACGAUGAAGGUCUUCGGAUUGUAAAGUGCUUUCAGUUGGGAAGAAGAAAGUGACGGUACCAACAGAAGAAGCGACGGCUAAAUACGUGCCAGCAGCCGCGGUAAUACGUAUGUCGCAAGCGUUAUCCGGAUUUAUUGGGCGUAAAGCGCGUCUAGGCGGAAAAAUAAGUCUGAUGUUAAAAUGCGGGGCUCAACUCCGUAUUGCGUUGGAAACUGUUUUUCUAGAGUACUGGAGAGGUGGGCGGAACUACNAGUGUAGAGGUGAAAUUCGUAGAUAUUUGUAGGAAUGCCGAUGGAGAAGUCAGCUCACUGGNCAGANACUGACGCUGAAGCGCGAAAGCGUGGGGAGCAANCAGGAUUAGAUACCCUGGUAGUCCACGCCGUA